rnacentral:rRNA from 1 species
UACAGAGGUCCCAAGCGUUGUUCGGAUUCACUGGGCGUAAAGGGUGCGUAGGCGGUCGGGUAAGUCUGAUGUGAAAUCUCACAGCUUAACUGUGAAACUGCAUUGGAUACUAUCCGGCUCGAGGAAUGGAGGGGAGACUGGAAUACUUGGUGUAGCAGUGAAAUGCGUAGAUAUCAAGUGGAACACCAGUGGCGAAGGCGAGUCUCUGGACAUUUCCUGACGCUGAGGAGCGAAAGCGUGGGGAGCAAACAGG